rnacentral:pre_miRNA from 1 species
CUUGUACUCCCUCCGUCCGAAAUUACUUGUCAUUGAAAUGGAUGUAUCUAGAUGUAUUUUAGUUCUAGACACAUCCAUUUUGAUGACAAGUAAUUCCGGACGGAGGGAGUACUUG